AAAGUCUCGGUUCUUCCCUCUCCCCCCUUCCGCUUCCCAUUCAACAUGCCGCUACUCGCUGGGCCAUUCAUGGCGUCUGCUCCUCCCUCCUCCACCUGCCCACCACAGCACGGAACCACCAGGUAGGUCAAUCCGCCACCCAAGCCCUAAGCUGCCCCCACUGUUGUUGCCGGAGUCCUCACAGCUAGCCAGCUAGGUCAUUCCGCCGCCGCCCGAAAUCCCAGCCUGAGCUACGGCGCCCACCAAAGCAAAUCCAUCGUGCGCCGCCGACCAAGCGAUGUCGUCGCCCUAGCAGCAGCCUCCUUCCACCGUGUUGCAGGGAUCUGCAACCUAACCCCCUCCCCCAAUCUUGCCCUCCCCCCAUGUUCCCCAAAUCAAAGGAAGAAGGCUUCAAGAUCUGUGUCUGCUGGGGAUUUUGUUUGCCGUUGUGCUCCACCACCUCUCAAGUUUCAGGCACAUUUGGGAAAUUGGGGGAGAGGAAGCCUUGGCCUGACUGCAUCUACUGGUGCUUCCAAUGACAUCCUCAACCUUGACCAAGUGAUGCUGCCAUCUCCCCCUGGCCACCCGUGAAUCCUAGCAAUCACUGGUGAGUUCUUUGCCUAUCUUGUGUUAGGUAACUAAAAAACUGUGAUGUUCUUUGCCUCAUGGCAAAUUUGAUACUUUUAUCUGCUCCAAAUAUAUUUGCAUAAUGUGACCUAGUUGGGAUUGGGCUGGAAAAAUAUUAUAUUUACUCUCAUAAAUAAAUUAUUUAUCUCUAUUGACUGCUUGUUGUUAAAUGGGUAUAUAAAAAAAUUGUUACUGCUACUCACUGGCGGAGCCACCACUAGGGCGAGCCAGGGCAGCCGCCCUAGGUCCCUUAGGUGAGCUCCAGAGUAUAUCUAUUAACAGCAAAGGUAGAUAGUGGCAAAAAAGGGUGGCUUCACAUAACAGGUUUUGUCCAUAAUUUCUCGCAUGCUGAAAUUUGCAUAAACAUAUUGCUGUCGUAUUUCUUUGCAUGUAUGUGUCUCCUGAAAUAGGUUGCCCUCUAUCUCACUGUGGCAGCCAAUUCCGCUAUGCUAAGUACUCAAUGAAUGACAAAAUGAAGAAAGGACCCAUCCUUGGAGUGAUUUUGAAGCAAGAAUACCCUCCCAUAAUUGAAGGAACUGACAGAGAUGGUCAGCCAGUCCUAUAUCAAACUCAAGGUCAUUCCAAAAUCUGUUCAGAAGGUAUGAGGAGCAAGUUGAAAACAACCGACGCUUAACUCAACAAAAAUGCAGCCUUGGCUCGACAAAAUGCAGACUUGACUGAUCAUGUGAAGCGGACUGAUCGUGUUGUUGAGUUCAUUGCUCAAAAGGUACAGAUAGAGAUACCACCUGACAUGCUUGAGGAAGAAGAAAAUGACAUGAGAGGGACUGGAGAUGGAUCCUCUCAUGCUUCAGCCUACUUGAAUAGUAACAGUGAUGGUCAUUGAGUUUCCUGGUAUGUUUGGUGAAGGAUGGCAUCUUUUGUUCAUGGUCCCAUGCAUUAUGGCAGAAACUGCAAGUUUGAAGAGCAAUGUCUUUUGUGUAGUAUUCUGAAUUGGAAAUAUUUUGGUUCGUAUCCAGCAGCUCCAUAUUGCCUCUUCAGAGCUUGCACUGUCCUGCUGUGCAUUUUGCCAUCCAAGAACCUUUUAGCUUGUAGGUUUUGACAUUAGUUGUCAUUGUAACUUGGUAUGCUAGUAUGUAACUUACUAUGGGUGUAUGUAUGUAAAGCAGCAGUGUAGCAACUUGUGUGCUGGGUGAACAAGCUUUCCAGAAACAACUUCAUAUAUGUUCACCUUUAAAUCAGAUCACUGUUAACUUA